GGGCGGAGCGGGCGCGUGGUGCGGGACGGGCCCGGGGCAGGUUGCUCCGCUUGAGCCUGGGACCUUGUGGCCAGCCCAGAAUUGUGAUGGAGCAUUUUGGAGCGUCCCCAGGACUGCAGGUCGGAACCUGGGGUGCGACAGGUUGCUCCGCUUGAGCCUGGGACCUUGUGGCCAGCCCAGAGUUGUGAUGGAGCAUUUUGGAGCGUCCCCAGGGCUGCAGGUCGG